rnacentral:lncRNA from 1 species
CUAAAGUCUCUUUCUUUUUGGCUAUUUAAUAAAUAGACAAAAUAUCCCAACCUAUCUAUAUCCUAAUUUAAUUGAGGAUUAUUUUAAAUUAACCUCCAAUUUCCCAAGCCCAACACAAUAACCGCCCCAGCCCACCUUCAAUUUACCUUGACCCGACCCAUUCCCAUAUAUAUUUCUCCUUCAGCAAUCAACAAACAGACGAUAACAACGCCAAUACACCACAACAUCAUACAAGCAUCAGCAAAAAUGACGAUAUAGAUUUCCAUUGAACAACAAUUUCAACCGAACCAAACCCGGUU